rnacentral:sRNA from 1 species
GACCAACUCACCACUUUCCAUGGACUGUGCCCUCCUUCUCUGUGUCCUCCUUCAGCCUCCUGGCCCAGUCCAGCGCUCCCCAGUCGCAGUCGUUCUCUCGACUCUGCAGGCUGGGCAUCAGCAAAAGGCAGAUGGGUAGGAAGCACUGGUCCCCUGACAAAGUGAUACAGCCAUCCAGGAGAGAUCAGGGAGAUGAGCUCACCUUCUCGGCCCAGUCAAUGCAUAGGCCGAGCCUCCGUGAAAGACGCGGAGACGAGCCCUACGACAACUGGAUCCUUUGCUGUGUGGUGGUCUCGCCCGCUGGGCGGCCAGUCUACAGGUACAAAUCACCCUUGGAGCUGCUCAAGGCGCUCCACGACGCGAUCAAGGCACACCAAUCGCUCGCUCUACCUGGAUGGAAGCAUUCUAUACCGG